rnacentral:rRNA from 1 species
AGCAGCCGCGGUAAUUCCAGCUCCAAUAGCGUAUAUUAAAGUUGUUGCAGUUAAAAAGCUCGUAGUUGAAUUUCGAGAUCAAAUUGUUGGUCGUGCCUUGGUACGCACUGGCAUUAUUGGUUUCUCCCUUCUGACGAACCAUGAUGUCAUUAAUUUGGCGUCUUGGGGAAUCAGGACUGUUACUUUGAAAAAAUUAGAGUGUUUAAAGCAGGCUCACGCUUGAAUACAUUAGCAUGGAAUAAUGAAAUAGGACGUUUGAUUCUAUUUUGUUGGUUUUUAGGAUCGACGUAAUGAUUAAUAGGGAUAGUUGGGGGCAUUAGUAUUCAAUUGUCAGAGGUGAAAUUCUUGGAUUUAUUGAAGACUAACUACUGCGAAAGCAUUUGCCAAGGAUGUUUUCAUUAAUCAAGAACGAAGUUAGGGGAUCGAAGACGAUUCAGAUACCGUCGUAGUCUUAACCAUAAACUAUGCCGACUAGGGAUCGGAUGAUGUUAAUUUUUUAAUGACUCAUUCGGCGCCUUAC